UGACGGUACCCUUUCGAAUAAGAGGUUGCUAACUCUGUGCCAGCAGCAGCGGUAAUACAGAGACCUCGAGCGUUAUCCGGAUUUACUGGGCGUAAAGCGUCUGUAGGGGGUUUGUUAAGUUCCAAGUAAAAUCUUAAGGCUCAACUUUAAGUUCGCUUGGAAAACUAAUAAACUGGAGUCCAGCAGAGGUACAUGGAACUUGCGGUGUAGGAGUGAAAUCCGUUGAUAUCGCAAGGAACACCAAAGGCGAAGGCAUUGCACUGGGCUGGUACUGACCCUGAGAGACGAAAGCGUGGGGAGCAAAACGGAUUAGAUACCCGUGUAGUCCACGCCGUAAACGAUGGAUACUAGAUGUUCGGGGAUUCGACCCCCUGGGUGUCACAGCUAGCGCGUUAAGUAUCCCGCCUGGGAAGUACGGCCGCAAGGCUAAAACUCAAAGGAAUAGACGGGGAUCCGCACAAGCGGUGGAGCGUCUGGUUUAAUUUGAUAGUAAGCAAUAGACCUCACCAAGGUUUGACAUCCUAUGACAACCCUGGAAACAGGGCUUCCUUCGGGCAUAGUGACAGGUGCUGCAUGGUCGUCGUCAGUUCGUGCCGUGAGGUGUUCCGUUAAGUCGGGAAACGAACGAAACCCUCGUCGCAUGUUACAAAUUUCAUGCGAGACUGCCCGGGUCAACCGGGAGGAAGGCGGGGAUGACGUCAGAUCAGCAUGGCCCUUAUACCUUGGGCUACACAGGCGCUACAAUGGCCGGUACAAAGGGUUGCGAAACCGCGAGGUGAAGCUAAUCCCAUAAAGCCGGUCCAAGUUCGGAUUGGAGGCUGCAACUCGCCUCCAUGAAGUUGGAAUCGCUAGUAAUCGUGGAUCAGCCAUACCACGGUGAAUACGUUCCCGGAUCUUGUACUCACCGCCCGUCACACCAAGAGAGUUGGUAGCUCCUGAAGCGUCGCAUUAG
rnacentral:rRNA from 1 species